UUUGGUGUAAUGCACUGUCGCCGCACUGC
rnacentral:sRNA from 1 species